rnacentral:rRNA from 4 species
GGGUUGUGAGGUUAAGCGACUAAGCGUACACGGUGGAUGCCCUGGCAGUCAGAGGCGAUGAAGGGCGUGCUAAUCUGCGAUAAGCGCCGGUAAGGUGAUAUGAACCGUUAUAACCGGCGAUACCCGAAUGGGGAAACCCAGUGUGAUUCGUCACACUAUCAUUAACUGAAUCCAUAGGUUAAUGAGGCGAACCGGGGGAACUGAAACAUCUAAGUACCCC